rnacentral:tRNA from 1 species
GCCCCGGUAGCUCAACGGACGAGCGCCGGCCUCCGAUGCCGGGGGAUGGAGGUUCGAGUCCUCCUCGGGGCA